CGUCUGCACUAGUCACUCCUCGAGUCCACUCGCUACACUCUGAAAUAAUAGAAAUCAUCAGCGGUUUAAAACUCAUACAUUUUUGUCAUUCUUAAAGACUACACUUGGCACAGUUUAAGUGGUAUACAUUUUUGGUAUAAAAAACUAAACUAAGCUGGAUUUUCACAAAACUUUUUUUAUCAGUGUAUUUUAGCGACCGCAGAUGUUCGCAAAAACAAAAAUGUCGGUGAAGACGACUUGACUCGUGAAAUUUGUUUAAUUAAUUUGUCUAUUGUCUAUUCGAUUAACUAGCAUUACAAAAAUUACAAAAGUGGACUGCUUUCCAUCAGAAAUAGCGAAUCAAUCGAAUUGAGAAUUGCUAGGAACUGUUUGGCGGAAAAGCUCGAAAACACCGGGUGUCGGCACCUGCAAAACGGAAACAGCGUUAGGGAGUUCUACUAUAAUGCAGGGAACACGGUCCAGAAAGCAGGAACAUGAGAAGAAUCCAUCAUUUCCGAUCUGGAUGCUGUUGAAUAUUUGCAGGAUAAUUAAGAACGAGCGGCUCGGAAGUUCCAAGAAUGGCAGAUAACGCAGAAUCAAAAUUUUAGUUAUCUGAAAUAAGGCGUUGGUCUUAAUAUUAAGUGCGAACUACUGAUUUAAUUUCCAUGUGUUUUAACGAUAAUAAAAUAAAAACGGGGUGUUUGAUUUUUUU